UCAACUCUUUUUUUUCAGCUUACUUUUUUUCUUCAGCAUGUCAUGUCUGUUUUUGUUCUGUCUCACAUGACUUUUGACAUUCUUCUUUGUAUUACACUUUAAAAAAAGUCUUGAUAAUUACAAAAUAUUUAAUGCACCUGUUUAAAAAGAGUCAAAUACAUGGAAACUAUAUACAUACUAGAUGUGCAUAAGCCAUUUGAUACUUUCUUUACACAAAAUACAGUCGUCUCUUAGUAUUGUGUCAUUAACACCACAACAAGCAAAUUACAUGACAAUAACCUUUUUUUCAAAAGUUUGUACUUGGUUACCAUGGAUAUGAAUAGUGACAGUGGAGCACAUGGAUGUCAUGGAGUCUAUUUGGUCAUUACCAAAUAGGCUAUAAUUUCAUCAAAUUAUGUUAUUUUUUGAAAUUAUGUUUUAAUUAUGUGUAUUUCGGGUACAUUGUAUGCUAGCUGUUCAACUGGAGUUAGCAUGCUAGAAUCCCUGCUAUUUAUGACCAAAUAUCGUAAAAUUGUCACCACAUAAUGAACUGUGAUGGUAAAGGCGGAAUGUGGUGGUAAAGACAGAAUGUAUUAGUUCAUACAUUUUUAUUUGCCGUAAGACCUGAAAAGACAAACAAAUGACAUAUAUGAUCAUGGUUCAGUUGAAAUUGAACACUAAAUAAGACCAUUACAUGUUGUAUUAUGUUAGGAUGGUUGAGUGAUUUUGAUGUCUAUUCAUGUGACUUACUAUGGUUAUUACUGGGUUAGGGUUAAAUAUCAACAUUUAGACAUGACAACUCACUACCGAGUUACUGGGUUAUUACAGGCUGACUAAACCGCUCGCGUGCGCGCACCCCGCUAAUGUGGGAGUUAAUGUAAUGUAUGCUGAGAAAACAUAGGAACAAUAAUUACAUUAACAGGAAGUAGAGAUGAUGUCAUCUAGUGUAUUUGUUGCUUCUGUGCAAUACAACAUGCCAAUGAUUACAUUAAGUUAAUGUACAUGACUACAUUAGCUGAGGUCAUAAUUACAUUUGUUACAUCUGGACAUACUAAUGACAGGAGUAAGCGGAGAGAGGAUGGUAGCAAAAAUGACCAACAUAUGAAACAUGGAGUAUACAAACAUUAGCUAUAUUUGGAUCAAAACAGACGGACAAUUUUGGGCGAAAUAAAGUCCAUGAUGGAUGGACCUGAUAUAGCUGAAAAUUCACCGUCCGUGGACGUCGCCACUGAUGCCAUGGCAAAGCCACGGUGAAAUUCCCCUUUAACCUGUAGUUGUUGCCUUUUUUCAAUGCAGGAUUCUACAUGCAGGAGUUAGUCCGUAGCGUGGUGUCUGGUUUGGGGUAGGGAAAUAUGGCGAAGCGAAAGUGCUGUUCGAGUCUGAUGGCUCCAAGUUGAGUGAAGUUGGUAAGAAUUGAAUGGAAGACGGAGACAACGAAAAAUGGAGCAAACAGACCAAAAGUUGUAAAUGAACAUCGGUUUCUUAUGGAGCGCGAUUCAUCAACAAUUAUGUAUUGUUAGGAGAUCAUCUGAGGUCAGGAAGAUGGUAAAGGAGGCAUUAGGAAAGGUAGAGUCAGUCAGAGUGACCAGUAGUGGUUUUGGUUUGAUGCGUCUCAGAAGAGCUGAAGGAGAGAGCAUUGUUUUUCGGAGCAGGGCACCGAUAAAAUGUGUUAUAUCUGGAGUUUCGUUGGAAGAGUGAAGAGUGUCUGCCUACUCAUGUGAUGCUGCGAUAUGUAAGAUACGCAGUGAGAGCGAUUGUGAAUAAACCACUGCAGUUAUGAAAUUGAUAAAAGAAUGGCCAUGUUUCAAAGUGUGUGCCCACUGAAUAUUUUUGGUAUUUAUUAGGAUCCCCAUUAACCACUGCAAAAGUAUCAGAAUUGUUCACUUCUCUCAUUGACUUCUCAAACCCCGGCUUGGUCCGCUUCACAAGUUCUCUGAAGUCUCGCGUUGUUUGCGUCUCUGGGUUUAGAAACUGGUAGUGGGGGAACAGGAAGUUCCGCGCGGGCGCACAUCAUUCUUCACAAUAAAGGAUACGCCAGAAUUGUGCAGUCGAGAUGACAACUUCUGUGUCCGUUUCAAAUGUAUUACUACUGGCUCCGGUAUUUCCACGACACUCUCCUUCCACACUGAGUCAAAACCUACAGUCACUGGGUCCUGAUUGUGACAGUGGAGCCCAUUUUGAACUGCAGGAUCAAGAGAUAGCAUCAGUGAAGCUGGAGGACUGCAGUCAAACACUGGAACUGAAUGCCAAAAUUAAAACAGAAAAUCUGUUUCUCAUGGACUAGAAUUAAGUCUGAGGCCGGUAACAUCAACAGUAACGACAAACCCAG